UGCAAGUCGAACGGCAGCACAGUAAGAGCUUGCUCUUAUGGGUGGCGAGUGGCGGACGGGUGAGGAAUACAUCGGAAUCUACCUUUUCGUGGGGGAUAACGUAGGGAAACUUACGCUAAUACCGCAUACGACCUUCGGGUGAAAGCAGGGGACCUUCGGGCCUUGCGCGGAUAGAUGAGCCGAUGUCGGAUUAGCUAGUUGGCGGGGUAAAGGCCCACCAAGGCGACGAUCCGUAGCUGGUCUGAGAGGAUGAUCAGCCACACUGGAACUGAGACACGGUCCAGACUCCUACGGGAGGCAGCAGUGGGGAAUAUUGGACAAUGGGCGCAAGCCUGAUCCAGCCAUACCGCGUGGGUGAAGAAGGCCUUCGGGUUGUAAAGCCCUUUUGUUGGGAAAGAAAAGCAGUCGAUUAAUACUCGGUUGUUCUGACGGUACCCAAAGAAUAAGCACCGGCUAACUUCGUGCCAGCAGCCGCGGUAAUACGAAGGGUGCAAGCGUUACUCGGAAUUACUGGGCUAUAAAGCGUGCCUUA
rnacentral:rRNA from 1 species